rnacentral:rRNA from 1 species
GUAGGGAGCGAGCGUUAUCCGGAUUUAUUGGGUGUAAAGGGUGCGUAGACGGGAAAAUAAGUUAGUUGUGAAAUCCCUCGGCUUAACUGAGGAACUGCAACUAAAACUGUUUUUCUUGAGUGCUGGAGAGGAAAGUGGAAUUCCUAGUGUAGCGGUGAAAUGCGUAGAUAUUAGGAGGAACACCAGUGGCGAAGGCGACUUUCUGGACAGUAACUGACGUUGAGGCACGAAAGUGUGGGGAGCAAACAGGAUUAGAUACCCUGGUAGUCCACACCGUAAACGAUGGAUACUAGGUGUAGGUUGUGAUAAACAAUCUGUGCCGUCGCAAACGCAAUAAGUAUCCCACCUGGGGAGU